AUUGUAGGUUUCCUCUGAUGACUACGUGUCAGAAUUAUCAAAUGUUUGACAUUCAAUAGCUGAUGAUUAAUUAAUCAGUGUAGAGCUAGUGGUAUAAUUAAACAAAUAAACUUUAAAUUUCAUGUUUCCUAUGCCAUGUCAGGACGUGCUGUGAGGAAGUUACACCAUGUGGUCAAUUGUUCAAACGUUAGCUUAACCAAUGGUUAACAGACAUUUUCAAAACCAAGGACUGAAUCAAUACAAAUAAUAAUUGAAAACAUAAUGUUCAAACCUGAUUUAGAACAAUCAAAGGUGCCAAUACAUGAUCAAAUCUAAAGCUUAUUUUGUAUUUGUGCAAAAAUAAUUAAAAGUAAAAUAUUAGACCAACCCAGGGUUAAUUUAACUGCUUUGAACAAGUGGGCCUAUAUGUUUUUGAAUAACUGAUUUCUAUAAAUUGCACUUUAUCCAUCACAUGGUACACAUGACAUAUACAGCUUAUUACAUGCAGUUGCCAUAAUUACACUAGAAAGUUUUACACACAACUUCUUGCUGUCAAAUUGCAAUGUUUGUCACUGUCAUUUCUUCAUAAUAUAUGCGAAAAAUCACAUACGAAAUUGCUUUUGGAAAACAUUAUGGUGACAGACUUUUAAUUUUAAAAAAAACAGGAGAAUGGAAAAUAUUUAUUUAUAAUUUCUUAGAUAGUUACACUAAUAAAUUGUUUUUCUCUAAAUGUUUUGUAGCCCUCUGAUUAAAUUUAUGUGGGUGCUUGCACCCCUUAAAAAUGAAAGUCUGUUGAAGUCUGGCUGAAAUGUUAAACGGCUGUCGACACCAGUUUAGGAAUGGAGGCAGGCUUCAAAAAGGUUGAGAAAUGCUGAUCUAUAAUGAGUAUUAAGAUCAUGUGAAUUAUUAUGCUGCACAUUUUGUGGUGACAGAUAAAAAACUCUUGAUCAUGAUUUACAGAUAAUGUCUAGGUAUAUAUUUGCUCGUCCCAUAAGUGCAUUAUAAUGUUAUGAAUGUCAUUCAACAUAUAUUAUCUGAAUGUACAAUGUGCUACAUUACGCAAUACUAGAAAAUUAGGCCUAAUGGUGAUGUUUUAUUUCACCCCUACCUCUUGUUUACAAUUGGUGAUAAAGGUAUGAUACGGCAAAUAAGUUGUUUAGUGUAUACUAUUAUAAUAUAUAAAGUAAAUAUUGUGCUUGACAUCAUUGGUGUAAUUUUUAUAAUGGAUAUUACAGAUGAUUGUUUUAUAUAAAUAGCAUCGGGUUUUUUUUGGGUUUUUUAAACUUAAAGCAUGCUGUUAUAAUUGUAAUCUCUUUUCUUUGAUUUGUGCAAUUACUUUGAUGUAUGUCGGUGAAUAUUAAGGGCCAAAUUUACAAAGCUAGCUUGUCUUAAAUGCAGGUGUUUAAGUAUUGUAAAUAUAUGUAGUUAAAUGCUUAUAAGACUAAAACAGUUUUUGUAAACGUGGUCCUUAAUGUAUUAAAUGGAAAGGACCAAAAAUGUUUGUUAAUAACAUAAAAUGGUGUUUAUGUUCAUGAUAUGUAAUAGAGUUUAUUAAUUUAUUAACCUCACUCUUAUGUUUUAUUGCAUUCUUGGUUGUGCUUUACCCUGAACUUGCAUUUUCAUCACCCAUCUGCCUCUGGUUGAACAUGAGAAUAAUGUUGAUAUUUCAAGUCUUUGACCCUUUCUCACUGAAUUUUUCAUAGUGAGAAGGGAUAUGAGUGAAGAAAGUACAUUGACCUAUCAGGAACAAGGUUGUUGACUGUAACAUUUCAUUUUAAAACCGAUUAUUCAUGUCUGGUGUAGAUAUAAACCAUUUAAUGUUGUGCGUUCAGUGUGCAGUACAGAAGAGAGAUAUAAAAUUGAAUCAUGAGAAGAAAUUCAGAAUAAAUAGAUAGAUGUACGAUAUUGACUUUAUCAUUUGAAGGUAAAAAUAUGGAAUUCUGUGAGGCUUGCCGAGCGGAAUUCACAUUUUGGCCUAAACAGAAUAAAGCUGAUAUCCUACAUCAUUAAUUGGGGGAGGUGGGGGCUAUUAUUUCUGUUUAAUUCAGCUACAUUGUAUGCUUAGCCAAGGCAAGUGAGUGGGUUUGUGAUAUAUCUGUGGAUAUCACGUCCAUAUGUAUGUGAUAUCACAAGUCAUACUUGCUUUAUCCAGUCAUGAUAAUCUGCCAAUACAAACAGUGCUUGCAGGAUAUUAUAGAAUAGCUGGUGAAGUUCUAAGGACACUGAAAUGUAAAGAGGCUCCCAAGUUCUAUGCCAUUGAUAAGAUGUUUCUAUUAGAUCCCUUUUUAACGACAACAAUUACAUGUUCAUCCCAAUGUUUGUGGUGUUAAGUUCUAAGAACAUUAAAACAUAAGUGACUCCUAAGUUUACUGCCAUGUUAAGAUGAUACGAACUACUAGAGCCUUUUUAACAACCAAAAUUAUGUGUUCAUCUUAAUGUUUGUAGUAGCUCAACCUUCAUUUUAUUUCCUAAUAUAAUCUGUACGAAAUACUGGGAGAUAAAUCCAGUUUGGGCUAGUACAAACAUUAGGACACGUCCUAUUUGAAACUUGUUACAGUGUCUUCAAAUGCAGGAGAGUCGCUUUAAUAUAAAUCAUAAAAGAUAGAUCUGACAAAAAUUGUUGUACUUGUUUGAAUUUACAUUGCAUUUUAUCAUUACCAUAAUAUGUUUGAGUAUUGUUUUUAAUAUUGUUAGUAAUGUAAAAUAGCUUUAAAAUGUAUGUGUAAUGUGUUUUUUGGUACAGGGAUAAAUGAAAUCCGACAUUUGUUUUGGUGGAACCUUGAACCCAGUGCCCCCUAUGAAAUAGUAGGUCCUCAUACCUACAACACUGCUACUGAUGGGAGAUUAAUUUGUAAAGUGGUCUUAGGCGAUGUUUUAUAUUUCAGGUGAUGGACAAUGUUUUACUUGGUGUCUAGACAUGUGACCUAGAAACGUUAAAUAAAUAUAGGGCCAAAUUAACAAAGCUUGUUUUUUCUUGAACGUAGGUGUGUAAGCAUUGCAAAUGUAUGUAGUUACAUGUGUGUAAGGCUAGAACAGGUGUGUAAGCAUUGCAAAUGUAUGUAGUUACAUGUGUGUACGGCUAGAACAGGUGUGUAAGCAUGGCAAAUGUAUGUAGUUACAUGUGUGUACGGCUAGAACAGGUGUGUAAGCAUUGCAAAUGUAUGUAGUUACAUGUGUGUAAGGCUAGAACAGGUGUGUAAGCAUUGCAAAUGUAUGUAGUUACAUGUGUGUAAGGCUAGAACAGGUGUGUAAGCAUGGCAAAUGUAUGUAGUUCCAUGUGUGUAAGGCUAGAACAGGUGUGUAAGCAUGGCAAAUGUAUGUAGUUCCAUGUGUGUAAGGCUAGAACAGGUGUGUAAGCAUUGCAAAUGUAUGUAGUUACAUGUGUGUAAGGCUAGAACAGGUGUGUAAGCAUUGCAAAUGUAUGUAGUUACAUGUGUGUAAGGCUAGAACAGGUGUGUAAGCAUGGCAAAUGUAUGUAGUUACAUGUGUGUAAGGCUAGAACAGGUGUGUAAGCAUUGCAAAUGUAUGUAGUUACAUGUGUGUACGGCUAGAACAGGUGUGUAAGCAUUGCAAAUGUAUGUAGUUACAUGUGUGUAAGGCUAGAACAGGCUUUGUAAAUUUGGUCUGUGAUGUUUAUUUUAUUACAGAGGAUUGUGCUUUACUAAAUACUUGAAGCAUUCUAUCUUCGAGCACAAAAUAAAUUGUUUGGCAUCCUACAUCAUAUAAAGAAAAGUCCUGUUGGAUACAAAAGUUUGUAGAAAAUUAUGUAACCACGUACACAGUGUGUGAAAUUCCAUGAUGUGAAUAAUGAGUUGGUUGGUGACUGUAUGGGAGUGAAAAUAGAUGGACUUUGUCAUUUAAAGCAUGCUAUAAUAUUUAUAGUUCAUUUUACUGUUAUACCUUGUUUUGUAUUUAUUUUUUCAAUAACUUAUAUUUCACUGCACUCACAAAGAUUUGUAUUGUACAGAAAUUUUACCCUUGAAACAUUCAGCUGAAAAGAUUUCACUUUUUAAAUUGAAUUAGUAGGGGUACAAUGUGAAACAACUAAAUGUUCCUUUUUGUUUGUCGAUUAUGAAUUUAUGCAACACGUGCUGUAAAACCUGUAUGUAACAAGACAUGAACAAAUUUACUUUUUGUACUCUUAACAGAGACAACCCUCCCCCUAGUCCAUUAAUCCUGCUCCUUGCUAUAAUCUCUGGAAAGGGGGGGGGGGGGUGUUUCCUUUUCAAAUGUGGUAUAUGGAAGGGGGGAUUUUUGUUUGGGAUAUUAUACAGUAUGAACAUUUUUCUACGGAUUGAUCUGAAGAUCAAGAAAAGAUUGUUUGGGUUUAUGCAAUAUUAAAACAUUUUCUAAAGAUUGUAGUUCAACAUGUUUUUGAUGUGAAAGUUAAUACAAUGACAUUUUCAGAAUUAAAAUGUCUGUUAAAUCAGGUUUUACUGUAUGUAAACAUUCUUGGUCCAUCUGCAGACUUCAGUCUGGUAAUUGUGCCUCAUGAUCAAUGUAAAUGUAAUUGUUUUCUUAACACGCCCAUUUACAUGAACAGUGUCCUGUACUUUAUUUUACUUGUAAAUUUUCAUGCAGUGCAGUUUGUAACAGAUAUAAUCCUAACUGUUGUAACGACUGUGUCCUGUUAUCCUUGUAUAGAUAUACCUAUUGGACGUAAGAUAAUGAAUAACUGAAAUUGUGUUCCUUUCUUUUAUGUGGUUCAAUAACUACUGCUAAGCUGAAUGUUAUGUGACCAUUGCUAGAUGUGUAAAAUAGCAUUUCUAAGUUGGUCACCUGUAUUUAGUAAUUAUGUUUGAAAAUGUAUUAUUAUUUUAAAAAAAACAGUAUUAUAAUAAUAAUUAACAAUUUAAUACUAAUAGUUUACUCAUUUAUGUACAUAAAUACUAGAUAUAAAUUUAUUGUGCAUUAAUUCAAUUCUACUGUUAUAUUCCAAGGAAAGUAUUUUGUUUAUGGAUUGUUUAAUUUCCUGAACAUAAUAAAUAUUAGCAUAAAAGUAAUGUCAUAAAACCUCAUUUUAGAUAUAAUUAUCAAAUAUAAUCUCUGGUAAAACAUGAGAAAACAGGAAAUACUGACAGUGUGGACUAUUUGAGAAUGAAUGAAUGAAUAAAUAAAGAAAAAUCACUUGUCAAGUAUCAAAUAUACGAGACCGUAAAUGAUAAUACAAAGAUUUUGUGAUUAAACUUGUAGCACAUAUUAAAAUUUAAGAAUAAUAUAUGUAUGAAGCAUAUUUAAUUGUUAAAACUAUACAAGUCACAUUCAGUGAUGAUGAAUUUAUUGUAUCUUUUAUUUGCCAACCAACCGCAAAAACAAAGAGACACAUAAUUAGAUAGUGUGUAAAGUUUUUGACCAAAGUUUUUGCAAGCAGAACAUUUUAAAUAUUUUAAGAGUUUAAGAUACUGUUGGUUUCUUGGAAAUUUAAUUUUACAGCAUGUAGAGCAACUGACAAUAUAUUUGUUGAGAUAUGACAAUUGGAUGUGAUAUCAUGUACAGCUGUGGUGGAUAUGUUGAAAUCUGAUGAUUGGAUGUGAUAUCAUGUACAGCUGUGGUGGAUAUGUUGAAAUCUGAUGAUUGGAUGUGAUAUCAUGUACAGCUGUGGUAGAUAUGUUGAAAUAUGAUGAUUGGAUGCGAUAUCAUGUACAGCUGUGGUGGAUAUGUUGAAAUCUGAUGAGUUGAUGCGAUAUCAUGUACAGUUGUGGUGAAUAUCUUGAAAUUGAUGAUUGGAUGAGAUAUGUACAGCUGUGGUGGAUAUCUUGAAAUUGAUGAUUGGAUGUGAUAUCAAGUACAGCUGUUGUGGAUAUCUUGAAAUUGACGAUUGGAUGUGAUAUCAAGUACAGCUGUUGUGGAUAUCUUGAAAUUUAUGAUUGGAUACGAUAUAAUGUACAGCUAUUGUGGAUAUCUUGAAAUUGAUGAUUGGAUGUGAUAUCAUGUACAGCUGUGGUGAAUAUCUUGAAAUUGAUUGGAUGCGAUAUCAUGUACAGUUGUGGUGGAUAUCUUGAAAUUGAUGAUUGGAUGUGAUAUCACGUACAGCUGUGGUGGAUAUCUUGAAAUUGAUGAUUGGAUGCAAUAUCAUGUACAGCUCUGGUGGAUAUCUUGAAAUUUAUUGGAUGCGACAUCAUGUACAGCUGUGGUGGAUAUCUUGAAAUUGAUGAUUGGAUGCGAUAUCAUGUACAGCUGUGGUGAAUAUCUUGAAAUUGAUGAUUGGAUAUCUUGAAAUUGAUGAUUGGGUGUGAUAUCAAGUACAGCUAUUGUGGAUAUCUUGAAAUUGAUGAUUGGAUGUGAUAUCAAGUACAGCUGUUGUGGAUAUAUUGAAAUUGAUGAUUGGAUGCAAUAUCAUCAUGUACAGCUGUGGUGGAUAUCUUGAAAUUGAUGAUUGGAUGCAUUAUCAGGUACAGCUGUGGUGGAUAUCUUGAAAUUGAUGAUUGAAUGUGAUAUCAUGUACAGCUGUGGUGGAUAUCUUGAAAUUGAUGAUUGGAUGUGAUACAAUGUACAGCACUGGUGGAAUAUGUUGAUUAGAUGUGAUGCAUUAUGUACAGAAGUGGUGGGACAUAUCACUUAGUGGGAAUUAUCACACAUACAAAACAAAUGUAUUUUAAAUGCAUGGGUAAUAAGUAUAUCAGUGUUACGAUAUCCAGUUAUUUUCAUUCUCAAAGUCCACACAGGUCAGUAUUGCUUUAACGAGCUAUGGAUAGUUCUGUUUGAAUAUUGUGCAUAUGAUAUUCAUUACAUUUUGAGUACUUGUGAAAUUCUUUAUUUGUAUGGGCUUAUUGUUUGUGGUAGUGCUAAGAUACACAUUUUGUUGACUGCACUAGUCCAUGAAUUACACCAAAACUAGACCACAGGAAUAAAACUGUAGUGGAUAUCAUGCUAACCCUAAGAAAAGUUGUUUUCACAGUAGUGGAUAAAAAGAAUCAAAUUAUGCUAACCCUAAGAACAAGUGCUUUGCAGUUUUGUGUCAAUGAAUACUACUAGCAUUAUACAACUUUUUAAGUUUGUCUUUGUGACACCCAUCAAUAAGAUAAUCAAAUUUAAAUCCUGGGCUUAAUUAUGUAUAUAACUCAUCUUCUCCAAGUGUUUUGUUUUACUUUAUAAAACAGAAAAUCUCUGAAUCUUCACAUUUAGUGUGAAAUUCUUUUAUUUUGUUAAUCCCAAUUUAAAUACUUACUUGCAGGCAGAAGUGACCAUUUUUAGUUUUAUUAGGAGUGUCAUAAUUUGUUGUUAAACUACAAUUGUUUUAUUGUUGUCAUCAUUUGUUAAAACUGCAUAUGAAUCUGAAAUAAACGUAUUUAUAUUU
rnacentral:lncRNA from 1 species